UACGUAGGUGGCAAGCGUUAUCCGGAAUUAUUGGGCGUAAAGGGCUCGUAGGCGGUUUGUCGCGUCUGCCGUGAAAGUCCGGGGCUCAACUCCGGAUCUGCGGUGGGUACGGGCAGACUAGAGUGAUGUAGGGGAGACUGGAAUUCCUGGUGUAGCGGUGAAAUGCGCAGAUAUCAGGAGGAACACCGGUGGCGAAGGCGGGUCUCUGGGCCGAAACUGACGCUGAGGAGCGAAAGCGUGGGGAGCAAACAGG
rnacentral:rRNA from 1 species